UACAGAGGGUGCAAGCGUUAAUCGGAAUUACUGGGCGUAAAGCGCACGCAGGCGGUUGGUUAAGUCAGAUGUGAAAGCCCCGGGCUCAACCUGGGAAUUGCAUUUGAAACUGGCCAACUAGAGUACGUGAGAGGGGGGUAGAAUUCCAAGUGUAGCGGUGAAAUGCGUAGAGAUUUGGAGGAAUACCGGUGGCGAAGGCGGCCCCCUGGCACGAUACUGACGCUCAGGUGCGAAAGCGUGGGGAGCAAACAGG
rnacentral:rRNA from 1 species